UUCCACCUCUUCCCAUUCCGAACAGAGAAGUUAAGCCCAAUUGCGCCGAUGGUACUGCACACAAAGUGGGAGAGUAGGUAGCCGCCGUUC
rnacentral:rRNA from 1 species